UUUUAAGUCCAAUCUGCCCAAUGAAUUUAUUUUAAUGGCUGCAGUAUAAAUAACUGUACUAAGGUAGCAUAAUAAUUUGUUUUUUAAUUAAAAACUAGUAUAAAAGAUUUAAUGAAAUAUAGACUUUAUUAACUUUAAAAAUUAAAUUUAUUAUUUAAGUAAAAAAACUUAAAUUUUAUUAAAAGACAACAAGACCCUAUAAAAUUUAAUUUUAUUAUUUAUAUAUUAAAUUUAUAAUAAUAAUAAAAUUUAAUUGGGGUAAUUAAAAAAUUAAAUAAACUUUUUUAAAUUAAUCCAUAAAUUAAUGAAAAUAUUACCUUUAAAAUUAAAAUUAUCAAAAUUAAUUACUUUAGGGAUAACAGCAUAA
rnacentral:rRNA from 1 species